rnacentral:rRNA from 1 species
CCCUAUGGGGCGCAGCAGGCGGUCAGGUGUGUCAGGUGUGAAAUCUCGGGGCUUAACCCCGAAACUGCGCUUGAAACUAUCUGACUGGAGUUUUGGAGGGGUAAGCGGAAUUCUAGGUGUAGCGGUGAAAUGCGUAGAUAUCUAGAGGAACACCAACGGCGAAGGCAGCUUACUGGCCAAAAACUGACGCUCAUGCACGAAAGCGUGGGGAGCAAAAA